rnacentral:rRNA from 1 species
UGAGGAAUAUUGGACAAUGGGCGAGAGCCUGAUCCAGCCAUGCCGCGUGCAGGAAGACUGCCCUAUGGGUUGUAAACUGCUUUUAUACAGGAAGAAUAAGCCUUACGUGUAAGGUGAUGACGGUACUGUAAGAAUAAGGACCGGCUAACUCCGUGCCAGCAGCCGCGGUAAUACGGAGGGUCCGAGCGUUAUCCGGAAUUAUUGGGUUUAAAGGGUCCGUAGGCGGAUGAUUAAGUCAGGGGUGAAAGUUUGCAGCUCAACUGUAAAAUUGCCUUUGAUACUGGUUAUCUUGAGUUGUAUUGAAGUAGGCGGAAUAUGUAGUGUAGCGGUGAAAUGCAUAGAUAUUACAUAGAACACCAAUUGCGAAGGCAGCUUACUAAGUACUAACUGACGCUGAUGGACGAAAGCGUGGGUAGCGAACAGGAUUAGAUACCCUGGUAGUCCACGCCGUAAACGAUGGAUACUAGCUGUUCGGGGCCUUGAGCUGCUGAGCGGCUAAGCGAAAGUGAUAAGUAUCCCACCUGGGGAGUACGUUCCGCAAGAAUG